rnacentral:rRNA from 1 species
UACGUAGGGCGCAAGCGUUGUCCGGAAUUAUUGGGCGUAAAGAGCUCGUAGGUGGCUUGUCACGUCGGGUGUGAAAGCCCGGGGCUUAACCCCGGGUCGGCAGUGGAUACGGGCAGGCUAGAGGUAGGUAGGGGAGAAUGGAAUUCCCGGUGUAGCGGUGAAAUGCGCAGAUAUCGGGAGGAACACCGGUGGCGAAGGCGGUUCUCUGGGCCUUACCUGACGCUGAGGAGCGAAAGCGUGGGGAGCGAACAGG